rnacentral:rRNA from 1 species
UGCGUAGGCAGCAAGCAUUGUUCGGAUUUACUGGGCGUAAAGGGUGUGUAGGCGGUUCUUUAAGUUUGGUGUGAAAUCUCCCGGCUCAACUGGGAGGGUGCGCCGAAUACUGAGGGACUAGAGUACGGGAGAGGAAAGUGGAAUUCCUGGUGUAGCGGUGAAAUGCGUAGAUAUCAGGAGGAACACCGGUGGUGUAGACGGCUUUCUGGACCGUAACUGACGCUGAGACACGAAAGCGUGGGUAGCAAACAGG